GCCAGGUGCAGUCGUGCACACUGAUAGUCCCAGCUACUUAGGAGGCUGUGGCAGGAGGGUGGCUUGAGUACAGGAGCUCUGGGCUGUAGUGCGCUAUGCUGAACAGGUGUCUGCACUAAGUUUGGCAUCAGUGUGGUAACCUCUUGGGAACAGGUCAAAAAUCCUGUGCUGAUCAGUAGUGGAAUCACACCUGUGAAUAGCCACUAUAAUCUAAGCAACAUGAUGAGACUCUGUCUCU
rnacentral:SRP_RNA from 1 species